CAAACGAAGGGGAAAGUAAAGCUG
rnacentral:piRNA from 1 species